rnacentral:lncRNA from 1 species
UUAUCCAUUGUUAACCCCAUUUGAGCCUUUACCCAUUUGUUGUUUUAAAAACCACAUCAUGUUAGCCCAUGGCCCAAACACCCCCCACCAUGUUCAAAGUAUUUAUGUGAGUUAUCAGAUAUAUGUUCAUUCUAAGUUUGGGGUUGUUGUUGAGAUAACAACCUUUAAGUUUGGGGUAGUUGUGCAGUAUUAGUACAAAUGAGGGCACCUGAUGAUUGAAGAAAAAAGAGAAGAGAAGAAAAAUAAAAGAUGAAAAUUUGA